ACCAUCUCCUUUUGGCCUUGAUGGGCCAUUCCUUUUCUGCCCUAGCGUAAGCGUCAUUUCUGCUGUAGUCUUUAUGACGCAGAGUUAAGACGUUUAGCCUAGAGCAAUUCUUUCCCUAGUGAAUGAGGUCCCAACAAGACCACAGAACUCUGAUCCUUCUGGGUUUCCAGGAGUUCUUGCCUGGAUGUUGCGAACAAAGCUUGUGAGGAAGAUGCUUCUUUAGCUUGACGUCUCUUGUCAUCUGAAAACCAAGCUUUCUAGAAAAUCCUAAGCAACAAGACCAGGUUUUCUGCGAACAGGAAAAACAUUCCUCUUUUACACUUUGUGUCCUGAUGGAUUUAGAGUGAAAAUGGACUUGUUCUUCUGCACCAGUUCCGUAAGGGAAAAGGUGAACUUGGCGUAGCCAUAGGGCGAACAACGAUGACAGCAAUGACCCUUCCUUAGGCCUAAAAACAGCUAAGGCCUCGUUCUAGUCCUGGGCUCUUUUGCCUAAGAUUCGUUCCCUUUUCUUAGCAGAACCUUCCGUUUCUUGGAAAGGAAAAGGUUGGGUGGAGUAACGAAUUUCCUAGGCUAUUUGAGCUUCUUGUCUUAAUUGAGGAAAGCUGUUGUUGUCUAUGAAGUCUGCCUGGGACGACAUCCUUUUCAGUGAACUUGGCAAGAACUGGCACGCCUGUUUUCUAAAAACACAGAUGCUAGAAGACUUAGUGUCCAGUACUGCCAAAGUCUCCUACUGGCAGCAGUAUCUUGACUGUGCCAAUGUACCCUAACUUCUUGUUGUUUCAUUGGCAACCAGGGAAGUAUUAACGAUGUCAGUCCUUUACUGGA
rnacentral:rRNA from 1 species